rnacentral:lncRNA from 1 species
AUGCCAUCAAAAGGACUUUUCCAAGACUUGUAAUGAGGUUGGGCUAACAAGAAAAAUUGGUUUUUCUAGAAAACAAAAUCCUUGAGUUAAGAGAGCUAUCAUAAUAUUUAACAAUUAAGCACAACUCUCUUUCUCACCAAUCUCACUUAUUACCAACUUCUUCCCUUUUCUUUUACAUUGAGCUCACUUUCAUGCUUUUCUUCUUUUCUUUUCUUUUUAUCAUGCAUUUUUUUCUUUCUCAACAUUUGAGCUCAAUGCUUUACAAUUGCUUUUCAAUUUUCUCCCACACAACCCCAAACUUGAACCUUUUCAUCGCAUACAAUUAAGCUCAUCCCAACUCAAGGUAAAGAAUUUCAAGACAAGGGUUCACAUCCUGUUUAAGGCUAAGGUUCAAAAAGGGUAAUAUUUUCA